rnacentral:lncRNA from 1 species
GGCCGCUGUACUCUGAUCAGCACUCCCCAAAUGGCAAGACCUCCACAAAAUACACAUGGCAUGGUGGUGGGAGCUCUGUUCCACCUAGCAUCACUCUUGCUCCUGGGUCCAAGCCAACUGAACUUUCCUAGGCACAGAGCAAGGGCUGUCUGGAGGCUCUUCUGCAGGCAGUGAUGAGUGCUGGGGAAGACAUAAGCCUCUGCUGCUCAUGCGUUGAUAGCUGGAAUCAGUAACAUGACCCUCUCACCCAACUACAAGAGAAGCUCUGCCCUCUGCACCGGCAAUGCCCUGGAGUAUUAAGUGGGUGGCCCUGGUAUUUCUCUCAGACAAUUGGUCCAGAGCACUAUGUUUGUUUGCCCUUGGUGGGCAAACAGCCCAGCUGAUAAGUGUCAUAAAGGGGUGGGACAUGGCCCCAGCAAUGAUCAUAGAAAGUUUGGAACUGUUUGGCCUCCAGUGGACAUAGAGAAAACAUGGGGAUCCUACCUCCUAUCAGAACCAAUGCCCCCACUCCAUGCCCCCUUAGUCUUUCCUUCACAUGGCAUUCUGCAGAGCACCAAGACCCUCAACAUCACCCUGGAACCACGACCAAACUCAGGAGACAUCCACACAGCACAGAACCGAGGACCCUUGGGUGGUGGUUCUCGGCAGGAUGUGACAGAACACUUUGCUGUCUCUAUUGUCAUUGCAUGAGGCAUCUGAGAUGUAGAAAAGUUGACUGACUCGCCAAAAAGGAAAAUGAAAGUUAGAGAUCUAGUCCCAAGUCUUAAACCUUCUAGUUAAAUUUACUGCAAAAAUAAAUAAUAAAAUAAACAUUGCCAUGCUGGAACAAUACCACACCUUUUAAUGGUGACAAUGUGAGUUACAUUUAGUUCCUUAGUAGUGACAUUUCUGCAUAUCCAAGAUCAGGACUUGUCUUAAUUUAUUCUAAAUUAAACUGACCUUAUACCAGUAUAAUUCUUUGAAUAAAAUAUACGACAUAUUA